rnacentral:rRNA from 1 species
GACGAACGCUGGCGGCGGGCUUAACACAUGCAAGUCGAACGGAAAGGCGCUGCUUUUGUGGGGUGCUCGAGUGGCGAACGGGUGAGUAACACGUGAGUAACCUGCCCUUUACUUUGGGAUAACUUCAGGAAACUGGGGCUCAUACCGGAUAGGAGCUGCUGCUGCAUGGGGGGGGUUGGAAAGUUUCGGCGGGUGGGGAUGGACUCGCGGCUUACCAGCCUGUAGGUGGGGUAGUGGCUUACCAAGGCUUAGGCGGGUAGCCGGUCUGAGAGGGGGACCGGCCACAUGGGGACUGAGAUACGGCCCAGAGUACUACGGGAGGCAGGAGUGGGGAAUAUUGCACGAUGGGCGGAAGCCUGAUGCAGCAACGCCGCGUGCGGGAUGAUGGCCUUCGGGUUGUAAACCGCUUUCGCCUGUGACGAAGCGUGAGUGACGGUAAUGGAUAAAGAAGCACCGGCUAACUACGUG